rnacentral:rRNA from 2 species
UACGUAGGGGGCGAGCGUUAUCCGGAAUUAUUGGGCGUAAAGGGCGCGUAGGCGGAUAUUUAAGUCAGGUGUGAAAACCCAGGGCUCAACCCUGGAUCUGCAUCUGAUACUGGGUAUCUUGAGGACAGGAGAGGAAAGUGGAAUUCCUAGUGUAGCGGUGAAAUGCGUAGAUAUUAGGAGGAACACCAGUGGCGAAGGCGACUUUCUGGACUGUAACUGACGCUGAGGCGCGAAAGCGUGGGGAGCAAACAGG